rnacentral:misc_RNA from 1 species
AUAAUUUUUUUUUUUUUUUUUUUAGUGCAUGUAGAUGUUGUGUCACUCUUUGUGGUGCAGCAAGUAAAUUGUAAAUCUUCAUAAAAGGAGCAGGUGGGGGUGGGGAAUCCUGGUAAAUUGUCCAAGUUUUGUUGCUUAUGAGAAGAAGACAACAAAUAAGAAUACAAGGGAAAAGGUACUAUUGUUGUCAGGCAAAGGCCCUCUCUUUUGUUUUUGCUUGAAGCUUCCCAAAAUUCUUAUGUUGUGUAUGAGUUUGCAUUUUCUUCCAUUAGCCUGACAUUUUGAAUUAAUGAUUUAGAAAAGAAGUAUACUGUAUAUUUUCAAGGUACUUGUAUGACUGAAAUUCCAGGCAUAUUUACAUAUAGCUAGAGGAGAAGAGAAAUAAUUUCAUAAAUAUAUAUAAAAAAAAGCUUUCUUUUACAAAAGUUUGUGCUUUUGAUGACUUCAUAGUUUGCUACUAAAUUUAUAAAUUAUCUUAUUGAAACCCUAUAUUUCCUGCAGAAGAAUUAUUUUGCUGGGUGAUUU